ACCUGCAAACCUGUGGGAAAUGCAGAUUUGGGUGCCUGACCCCAGACCUUCUGAAUCAGACUCCGGAAGCGAGGGCCCAGCAAUCUGUUUUAACAAGCCUUCCAGGUGAUUCUAAUGCAUACUGAAGUUUGACAGAUCACUCUCUGUAGAUAGAGUACUGUCCCCAUUUUACAGAUAAGUAGACUGAGCUUGCCCAGUGUCCUACAGCUAGUAAGACUAACCAUCAAGUGUGUCUAUAAGCAGUACAUUACAUCCCAUCUUAAGGACUCCUAUUCUAGAGAAGGGGUCCCCAGAAGUUGAAAGCAUACCCCUUUGAAAGAUGGUGCACCCCUCGCACAGUUUUACAUUGGCACAUAAAAUUCUUCAUCGUAAGUGUAAACAGUGGUAAAGAAUAUGAUUGCCAGUACAUUGUAAAUUGUGACAUUUUAAAAUGUGUUCCAACACUCUACUAAAUUUAUCCAGUUGGAUCUAAAUACCACAGUGAUGGUUAUUUUAAAUGGACUAUCCUCCAUUUGUUUACUUAUUUAUUUUAGUCUAUUUAUUUUGGUAGCACACACCGGGGAGGGGGAGAGAGAGUCCCAAGUAGGCUCCGCGCUCUCAGCACAAGGCCGACUUGGGCCGAUCCCAUGAACCAUGAGAUCGUGACCUGAGAGGAAUCCGGAGUCGGAUGCCUGACUAACUGAGCUAUCCGGGUGCCCUAGCUAUCAUCCAUUUAGAAAAAUAAUUUUCUUUAACAUUUGAAACUUUACAUCCUCCUCCUUUGUGACUGAACUUGUAUUUUCAUUCCCCAGUCCACAAAAAUAAACUCUUGUAAUGUGGCUA